GACGAACGCUGGCGGCGUGCCUAAUACAUGCAAGUAGAACGCAGUUGCGAACGGGUGAGUAACGCGUAGGUAACUGCCUCAUAGCGGGGGAUAACUAUUGGAAACGAUAGCUAAUACCGCAUACUGUGAGAUGGACCUGCGUUGUAUUAGUUAGUUGGUGGGGUAAAGGGUCACCAAGGCGACGAUACAUAGCCGACCUGAGAGGGUGAUCGGCCACACUGGGAAUUGGACAAGGCCCCGACCCCUUCGGGAGGCAGGCGUAGGGAAUCUUCGGCAAUGGACGGAAGUCCGACCGCGCAACGCCGCGUGAGUGAAGAAGGGUUUCGGAGCGUAAAGCUCUGUUGUUAGAGAAGCGGUACCUGACCAGAAAGGGACGGCUAACUACGUGCCAGCAGCUGCGGUAAUAC
rnacentral:rRNA from 1 species